GGCUCAGUGGUCUAGAGGUAUGAUUCCUGCUUCGGGUAACACCAGAAGCCAAGCUUUCAAAUUGCAGGAGGCCCCGGGUUCGAAUCCCGGCUGAGCCC